UACGAAGGGUGCAAGCGUUACUCGGAAUUACUGGGCGUAAAGCGUGCGUAGGUGGUUCGUUAAGUCUGAUGUGAAAGCCCUGGGCUCAACCUGGGAAUGGCAUUGGAAACUGGCGACCUAGAGUGCGGUAGAGGGUAGUGGAAUUCCCGGUGUAGCAGUGAAAUGCGUAGAGAUCGGGAGGAACAUCCGUGGCGAAGGCGACUACCUGGACCAGCACUGACACUGAGGCACGAAAGCGUGGGAGCAAACAGG
rnacentral:rRNA from 1 species